UUGAACGCUGGCGGCAUGCCUUACACAUGCAAGUCGAACGGCAGCACGGGUGCUUGCACCUGGUGGCGAGUGGCGAACGGGUGAGUAAUACAUCGGAACAUGUCCUGUAGUGGGGGAUAGCCCGGCGAAAGCCGGAUUAAUACCGCAUACGAUCUACGGAUGAAAGCGGGGGACCUUCGGGCCUCGCGCUAUAGGGUUGGCCGAUGGCUGAUUAGCUAGUUGGUGGGGUAAAGGCCUACCAAGGCGACGAUCAGUAGCUGGUCUGAGAGGACGACCAGCCACACUGGGACUGAGACACGGCCCAGACUCCUACGGGAGGCAGCAGUGGGGAAUUUUGGACAAUGGGCGAAAGCCUGAUCCAGCAAUGCCGCGUGUGUGAAGAAGGCCUUCGGGUUGUAAAGCACUUUUGUCCGGAAAGAAAUCCUUGGCUCUAAUACAGUCGGGGGAUGACGGUACCGGAAGAAUAAGCACCGGCUAACUACGUGCCAGCAGCCGCGGUAAUACGUAGGGUGCGAGCGUUAAUCGGAAUUACUGGGCGUAAAGCGUGCGCAGGCGGUUUGCUAAGACCGAUGUGAAAUCCCCGGGCUCAACCUGGGAACUGCAUUGGUGACUGGCAGGCUAGAGUAUGGCAGAGGGGGGUAGAAUUCCACGUGUAGCAGUGAAAUGCGUAGAGAUGUGGAGGAAUACCGAUGGCGAAGGCAGCCCCCUGGGCCAAUACUGACGCUCAUGCACGAAAGCGUGGGGGAGCAAACAGGAUUAGAUACCCUGGUAGUCCACGCCCUAAACGAUGUCAACUAGUUGUUGGGGAUUCAUUUCCUUAGUAACGUAGCUAACGCGUGAAGUUGACCGCCUGGGGAGUACGGUCGCAAGAUUAAAACUCAAAGGAAUUGACGGGGACCCGCACAAGCGGUGGAUGAUGUGGAUUAAUUCGAUGCAACGCGAAAAACCUUACCUACCCUUGACAUGGUCGGAAUCCCGCUGAGAGGUGGGAGUGCUCGAAAGAGAACCGGCGCACAGGUGCUGCAUGGCUGUCGUCAGCUCGUGUCGUGAGAUGUUGGGUUAAGUCCCGCAACGAGCGCAACCCUUGUCCUUAGUUGCUACGCAAGAGCACUCUAAGGAGACUGCCGGUGACAAACCGGAGGAAGGUGGGGAUGACGUCAAGUCCUCAUGGCCCUUAUGGGUAGGGCUUCACACGUCAUACAAUGGUCGGAACAGAGGGUUGCCAACCCGCGAGGGGGAGCUAAUCCCAGAAAACCGAUCGUAGUCCGGAUUGCACUCUGCAACUCGAGUGCAUGAAGCUGGAAUCGCUAGUAAUCGCGGAUCACGCAUGCCGCGGUGAAUACGUUCCCGGGUCUUGUACUCACCGCC
rnacentral:rRNA from 1 species